AUUCCCCUGCUUUGCCUAAGUUCUGCGUUCCACGCGGGGCACUUUGUAGGCAAAGCGAGGGAUU
rnacentral:ncRNA from 1 species